rnacentral:rRNA from 1 species
GACGAACGCUGGCGGCGUGCUUAACACAUGCAAGUCGAACGGUCUACCUCGACAGAAACCUUCGGGUUGAAGACGAGAUCUAGAUAGUGGCGGACGGGUGAGUAACACGUGAAUAAUCUGUCCUCAAGUCUGGGAUAACCUGGCGAAAGUCGGGCUAAUCCGAGGUAAGCUGAGAGUGUGGCAUCACACAAUCAGAAAAGGUGGCUUUGCCAUCGUUUGAGGAGGAGUUCGCGGUAGAUUAGCUAGCUGGUGAGGUAAUGGCUCACCAGGGCAACAAUCUAUAGCUGGUCUGAGAGGACGAUCAGUCGCACUGGAACUGAGACACGGUCCAGACUCCUACGGGAGGCAGCAGUGGGGAAUCUUCCACAAUGGGCGAAAGCCUGAUGGAGCAACGCCGCGUGAGUGAAGAAGGUCUUAGGAUUGUAAAACUCUGUCCUUAGGGAAGAACCGUGGGUAUAGUAAAUGCUACCCACCUGACGGUACCUUUGGAGGAAGCACUGGCUAACUACGUGCCAGCAGCCGCGGUAAUACGUAGAGUGCAAGCGUUGUCCGGAAUUAUUGGGCGUAAAGGGUACGCAGGCGGAUAAUCAAGUCAAGCGUGAAAGGUGUCGGCUUAACCGACAGACUGCGUUUGAAACUGGUUAUCUUGAGUGUAACAGAGGAGAGUGGAAUUCCUAGUGUAGUGGUGAAAUACGUAGAUAUUAGGAAGAACGCCAGUGGCGAAGGCGACUCUCUGGGUUAACACUGACGCUGAGGUACGAAAGCUGGGGGAGCGAACGG